CCUACGGGUGGCAGCAGUGGGGAAUAUUGCUCAAUGGGCGAAACCCUGAACCAGCAACGCCGCGUGAAGGAUGACGGUUUUCGGGUUGUAAACUCCUUUUGUUCGGGAAGCUAAUGACGCUAUCUAACGAAUAAGCACCGGCUAACUCCGUGCCAGCAGCGGCGGUCAUCCGGCGGGUACACGCGGUAAUCUGAAUUACUUGGCGUAAAGGGCGCGUAGGCGGGAUAGCAAGUCACAUGGGAAAUACUAGGGGUUAACCCUAGAAGUGCAGUUGAAACUGUUGUUCUUGAGUAUGGGAGAGGUAGGCGGAAUGCGUGGUGUAGGGGUAAAAUGCGUAGAGAUCACGAGGAAUACCCAUUGCGAAGGCGACCUGCUAGAACAUAACUGACGCUGAAGCGCGAAAGCGUGGGUAGCAAACAGGAUUAGAUACCCUUGUAGUC
rnacentral:rRNA from 1 species